rnacentral:lncRNA from 1 species
CCAACCCUGUUCUUAUGACUUCACCUGGAAUGACCUAAAAGGUAAUCAAUCAUUUCCAACCGUUGAGAAUGUCAGAACAUAGCACCAGAAAGACUCUGGAGUAUCUGGAGCCUGGUAGAUAUUCUCAUGCUUUCCUGGAACACAUUAAAGAUCAAGUUUCCUCAACACCUAGAUCUUCUUUUGUAACGAUAAUGCAGCACACUGUAUACUGUAGAGCAGUCAGCACAAAGGCAGUGGCAUCUAUUCAUGCAGACUUUCCAAGACGACAGACACAGAACACUGGCAUGGUUUAGGAAUACAGUGACGGGAACUUGGACACGCAGCGGCAAGGAAAGCAGUUUUUAAAGAGAACUUGAUGGACUGUGAAGCCAGACUUUGGCCCUUCCUUGUCAAUGGAUGAAGCCCCCAAGGGCUCAGGCCUGAGUAUCACACACCUCUUUUUACUGUACAGCACAAGAGGGAUCAGAGACACAAUCAUCAAUGCAUCACGAGAGCAGACAGAAAAGUGUUAGACGUCUGUAGUGACAACCAGGAAUUACAAUGACUUUGAAAAAUGUAUGCUCGAUGCAAGGUCUGUUCAGUGUGUAUCCCGGAAAACAAUGUAGUGUGGUAGUGUUAGAGACAUGGAACCCAGUCCAAGGGGUCUUGGGAGAAUUUGCCCUGACCUCAAUGUAUACUAUUAAAUAAACACAACAAUAAUAACGACAAAGUCUAGGUCUUGAAGUUUGUUUAAAAUUCCCCAAGAAAAGCACUGAGCUUCAUUUAACUAAGGCUUUCAGGUUCCAUGUGGUGCCUAAUAUAAGUUGUUGUUUGUAUGGUGUGGGAUGGCUAUGUAUGAUCUGAAUGGAAAUCGGUGUGGCGAAGAUUCACAGUCCAUCCAUCUCUACCAUUCACUGGAUACAGGCAUCCAAGCUACAACAUAUUAGCCAGCACUCAUGAACGAAGGUCUCUUUCUAGGUUCCAGACCAAUUCUGUGGCAUGGGCAUGCUCAGUGGGCUUGCUGGAUAGUUAGCAAUUUUGUGCAUUGAUAAUGGGCAGGUCUACUAAAGCUUAAUUGGGGUUUGCGGGUAGAAGCUAUUCUGCUUUGUAGAAAAACAAAAACCUGGCUGAUUUUUAGAAAAAAAAAAAAGUUUAAAGGUAAAGAUCAAAACAGAAGACACUUUAAAUUAUAGUAGAUAAAUAGAUCACACCCACCAGAAACAAACAAAAGAAAAUCAACCCCAAAUUUGGGAUCUACAUGAAGAAUCACUAGGGCACCACUCUGAUACUUUUUGCAUGACCAAGGCCUCAUGAUGUCAGGAUUGAGACCUGUCAUAAAUGCCAGAAUAUUUAUUUCUGAGUAUAACUGCUUCUAGGAAUUCUAUAAAUGUAUUUUAAGGAGCAGAGAUUACUGGGGCCCUUUUCAAUUUGGUUUGCUGUAUGCUCAGUGCAAAAUAUUUGUACAAAAAAAUAUAAAAGGCAUGGCUCAAUGUUUAACGUCUGUGUUUUAUUUUGUUGGCACCAGAAAAAGCUCAUGUAAUGUUAUGUCACUGUACAUACUGUAAACAAGACGGCAUUAAUAUGUUUUCUUAUGAUUUUCUUGUUCCAAUUAAUCUAGAUUUUAAAAAAUACAUUCACAAACUACCUUAUGUUUAAACACAAUGAUUCCCUUUUAUUUCUUAACUGUACCCAAAGUCCCACAAUAAAAAAUCAUUUAAAGCUGUGUGUUUCAGAUGUAUCGCUUAGAAAUAAUGAAACGAAACAAAACAUUAAAACAAAGAUCAGUUUGCAACAUAAUUUAAGGAAGCCUCAGGUUCAAAACAUCACAGCAGCAAUAUAAAGAGCUGGUGGCAAUCGCAUUUGGAGACAAGACCCAAAUCUACAUUAUUUUUGUCCAUAUCAGCAUCCAAUUAUGGUAGUUGCUAAAUUCAACCCAGAUCUAUUGCUGAAUUUGUCCCAUGGAAUUCAUGAGGACAAUGUUGUUUGGCAGCAUAACCCCAGCAGUAAAAAUGAGAACGGAAGGAUUUCAUUGCCUUUGAGAGCUAGAGGGACCAUGACGGGCGCAUCCUGGUGAUCACUUGAAGACCACCCUGACUAUAUUUCUGUGUGUUACCUGCUUCAGAUAACUGCAAACAAUAAUCACCUGUGGAGAUUACAGAUUUUCCCCUAGUCCAGAACUCAGAAUAGUCCCCUUUCUCAUCCCCUUUGGCCAACUACCAGAUUAAAAAGGUGCCGUUUUCCUAAUAUAAGUUUCGUUCUCAUUAAUAGUACAUCAGCUGCUCAUUUCUUUAGGCAAAAUCAGGAGAAUCCCAGUUUUUGUCUUUCUUUUUUGAUCCAUUUACAGUAAUUGUAUUCUUUAAAAACAACCUGCAUUAGGUUUUUGUCAUUGGAGAUUUUUUUUCCCCCUCCAAUUUCUAAAGAACAAUUUGGUCAACUACUGUUUUGAAAAUAUUCAAUACAGCUGAGAUUGCCAGGUGAGCUCUCUAUAUGUCUCCUGGAGAUAACACUGCUGUGAUGAACAGAGAAACAAAAACAAACAAAACGAGGUAGGUUAAAACAGGAAGCACAGCACAGAUACCAUUUCGCAACACCUGGAUACCGUAGGCGGCCAUGCUUAUAGCUUUGAGGAAAAUCCCAGUCAGUCACAUAAAGGUUCAAAUCAUUCGAGUAAGGGUUUCUAUAAGGACACAAGUCAACCUGAACUAAAUACAUACACAUCUCUGCACAGAUGUUGUUAACAGUAUGUUGGAAAGUUUGGAGGAACAUAACAUGAUUAGAGUCUUAGAAUUUUGUCAAAGCCUUGCCUUUAGGUUCCCUAAAAUCUGAGCUUUUGGUGCCUGCUGUGUGCGGCAGCCUUGCAAGUCUAGUUAGUCCCUCGACCCAGUAAGAACACAGGCAGCUCAGGAACAUUUAUUAGUAAUUCUUCUCCAUCACAGUUUUUCUGUUGAGAAAGUGGCACCCUUGGGAGGGUUUCCAGAGCAUGGCUGUUAUGUACCCCCAGCUCUGGGAAAGAUCUCAACCAGUCACAGUCCUAACAAAGCCCAACUGAAGGGACCUCUUAUCAAGGAGGCUUUGUGCCUUGAAGAAAGAACAUGUGUGUAUUUACAUAGACAUAUUAGCUCAUUUCUCAGAAGCUCCUUCUGGGUGACCCACCUGUCAUCCCAUCUUUUGCCCUGAUCUGUUGCAUAAUAAUUGAGGGACAGUCACAUCCCAGAGUCCCUCCCCAGUCACAAGCCCACUCAACUCAAUGGCAUCGCUGUCCCAUUCAACACCCUCCAUUCCAGAAAGGGCCAUAUCAAAAUAUGGCCUGACAGACUCACAAGAGUGGUAGUUGAUUUUAUUAGGUUAAGGCUAAUAGUUUAGCCAUUUAAAAUCUAUUUCCCCAGAGAGGAGAAAACCAGCUAUUUUGCUUCUCUUUCAAAAAUUCAUUAGCCAGUAGCAAUUAAAAAAAAAAGAUAAAAUAAAACAAAACAAGACAAAACAAAAAUAGCCUCUUGGGUUAGUGAAGGCAAGAAAAUUCUUAAAUUACCCCACUAUGUGGUUAUGGCCUUCAGUGCAGGGAGAUAGGGUCCAUUUAUUGCGAUGUUUCUCACUACUGGGAGUUGGAACUUUUACAACAUACCAUAUACUUAAAGCUAGCAGGCAGACAGAAUUUUAAAAAGACUAUGUUCCCAGUAUGCAUUUCCCCCCAUUCUUACAAAGUAAGGUGGUAAAGGGGGGAAAAAGUUAAAAAGUUCCAAACCAAAAAGAACUGAAAAGCCAGCAUGAACACAGCUUAAUCAUAAGAGCACACAAUAUUUGUCUCUAUCCCUAACUCCGAAGGGCACAAGGUCCAUCUCUGUCCACAGACAAUGCAGCAUCCUCGGAAUCGCUUGCCCAGCCAUUCCCGCCACCUCUUUCUCUCCUUCUCAACCAGGCUGCAACACCAAAAAGGACUAUAUUGGGAGAGAUGGAGGGAGAGGAAACGGAGAGAGCAGUAUGUUCAACCAGGCCUUCUGAUUCUGCCUCUAGACUGGCAUACGUCCACAUGAGUUAUGUUCUUUUACAUUAGAAAUAACGCCAUGAAGAUAAGUGCCAAGUGCUCUUCUGUUACCAGUUCAUCAUGGAAUUUCUGUUGAGGGUCAUGAAAAACACUUGGCUACUUCCUCCAGAUCGCACGGAUGCAAAAAAUACCUGUUUGAAAUUAAAAACAAGUUAGUUCAACUUCAUGGGUUUCUGUUUUCCCCCUUCUUUUUCUUCAACUGCCAGCCAUUUUCUCUCACAUGUCCUAUCCUCACUGUGCAUCGGCUCAGUGUCAAUGGCCAGUGUUUACAGUGUUCUUUGGGUUAACACUUAGGCUCUCUGCUGAUGCUAGCAGAUCCCAGGCCAAGGGAGAUAAUGGUAUUAAUAAGCAGAAGCACAGUCCAUUAGGUCUGAGCCAGUUCAAUCAUUUUAUCAAAGGCCUGGGCGAAGUGAGCAGAAUUUAGAUGACUGCUUGCUUGAGCUGAUUGUCAGUGAACCACUGCCCCAGGAAAAUACUAUAUGGGGCUGUGCAAUAGCCCUUCAGUAAGCCAGUGUCUGUGGUCUGAGGAAUGAGUGUGUCACUAGUGAAAGUUUGUGCUACUUGGUGUCCAUGGCUUCUUAAGAAGCUUGUGGAGUUGCUUGAUAUUUAGCUAAAGCUACAGGGGAAACUACAGCUACUCAGGGGUCAGGGAAUAGAAACAGGGAGAAGAGUGGAGAUCUGCUGAAAAGGUUGCUAGUUGUGAGCUCAGGGAGUAAACUAGAGGCACUAGCCCGAGAGGAUGGGUUGGACCAGGCCUGCUGGGGUGGGUCACUGAGAACUACAGUAUAGUGGUCAACACACAGAACAUCUCAUUUCUUAGGAUCUAGGGACUGCAGAAGUGUUGGAGUCUCAAUUGUUAAGACUGGUUUCUGGCAUACUCUGAUAAGACCCCUGGUAACUAUCCUCGUCUUCCAGAGCUACUGCCCACUAGACCAUACCAGGUCAGAAAUAGUUAGCCAGGGUCAAAGAAUCCAGAUCCAUAUUACCAGGGUGGGAUAAAGAGCAGUCUGGCCUCUGGGGAACUGGGGUGAAUAUAGAAAUGUAAACAGUUCAACCCAUCACGUUAUUCUCUAUGUGGACAUGGUUGGUCGGGUGAACAUAGUCUCAAAGGGUGGGCUCACAAAUGUAGAUUAGCUAUUAAAGACUCCGGAUUACUCUCCAGGGAGGGCAAGGCAGAGCAUGACCACUUAAGUAUACUCCUUUGAGGCGAGAGAUCAUGCUGGACAGACAUGGUCACUUCCGUUGGAAUGUAGCCCCCCCCCCCAACCCUUGUGACAUGUCAGGAGACACAUGGCUGAAAUGAGACAGGACAUGGCAGGAGUAGAGUUUGUGACUAUGUUUCUUAGGAAUGAGUGACAUUGUUUAGAAGCUCAUAUUUCUACAUGUCAUAUUUUCUACACUUAAAGGUGAAUAUAAUAUGAAAGCUAGGUCCCAACACUGUCUCUGUGAAAGGCCUAAAAGUGAAGGCAUAAGGCUAACCCACUAUGAGGUGACCAAUGAUGGGCUAGCUGCUCUAAGUGCAUAGGAGAGUCUACAAUGGUUGUCAAGUCACUGGAAGGCCCUCAGGCCACAAAAGUCACCAAGAGUUUACAAGAAAGUAAGAGAUGUUUUAUGCUGGUUUGGAUGCAUGAGUCAUAGAUUCUGAAUGUUCACAUGAAUCAAACCAAGUAAUGCCACUUCAUUGUCAUUGAUCAUUGAACACAGAUGUGACUUGAGUCAGUAUAAAGGAAAAUGAAGGUUUCACAGGUACCUGGUGGUCUCUUAAAAUGCAAACACUAAAGCAAAGUUGAAACGGAUUUACCUUAUCAUUUCUUUCACAUAGAAACUUUAACCUUUGAGCUCGUUUAUGCAUAAACACUCCAUCCAAAUGUCCUGUUUCCACUGACCGGAUCUCAAUAGCUUUCUCGCCCCAGCCCAUUAUCUGAUUGGAAUGAAUGUAGGCUGUCAAAAGGAAUUUCCAAAACUGCAUUAAAAACAUUAGAUGGGCAACAACUCACAGCAUUUGUUUACAUCUUAACCACAAAAAGGACAAAGGACUUGAGAUUAAACAGACAAAGAGAGUCUUACAAGUGUCAGUCACAGACUUUUUUUUUUUUUUUUGGUGAACUCAAAUGGUUGUUUCCCAUUUCUUGCCCUUCGUUUCAUUUGGGGCGUGUAACUGCUGAAGGAGAUAAGGAAUGGUUAACCUACCCACAGAUGUGGGCAUUUCUCCCCAUUGGAGCACCACAUCCUUAGUGAUCCGGCCGUAGGUGUUCACGUACACCCCUUCAUCCUCAUAGCAGACAAGCAUCUCCAUUCCAUCUGUUUUAGGCAAGAUGACGAUAGCAUGAGGAGUGAUAUUGCCCUGAAUCUAG